AUUGAACGCUGGCUGAAGGCUUAAUACAUGCAAGUCGAACGAGUGGCGGACGGGUGAGUAAUGUCUGGGAAACUGCCUGAUGGAUGGUGAUAACUCCUGGAAACGGUAUCUACUACCGCCUACCAUCAGCUGUGCCCAGAUGGGAUUCGCUAGUGGGUGGGGUCACGGCUCCCCAGGGCGACGAUCCCUAGCUGGUCUGAGAGGAUGACCAGCCACACUGGAACUGAGACCCAGUCCAGGCGCGUACGGGAGGCAGCAGGGGGGAAUAUUGCACAAUGGGCGAUAGCCUGAUGAGGCCAUGCAGCGUGUAUGAAGAAGGCCUUCGGAUUGUAAGGUACUUUCAGCGGGGAGGCGUGACCCGCAGAAGAAGCAACGGCUAACUCCGUGCCAGCAGCCGCGGUAAUUC
rnacentral:rRNA from 1 species